AGUUAUUAUAAUAAUAUAAACUAUGAAUAAUAUAAAUUAAUAUCUACUGAUUAUUUAUUACUUCUUAUAAUAGAGGACAGUCCAUAAGCAACAAAUGUUUCGUAAAUCGUGGUAAGUACACUUUAAAUAGAUUAUUAUUUUUAAAAAAAACAAAGGUUUUAGGGGCCUAAACACAAACAAAUUAAUCGCUUUUUUGAGAACUACUGUCUAUUGAUGAUUUUUUAAAACCGAAACCUGUAGUAAACACGCAAGUAGUAGAAAAAUGGGGUACCUCGCACUGACAGAUAUUUUCAGUUUUAAAAACUAAUUUCAGAUCUCAAUUUACAUUGUUUUCUUAUUGUUCUCUGUUCACAUAAUUAUAUUAAAAGAAUAUUUGUAAUGUUAUAACUUUCGAAAUAGGAAGUCCUGAUAGUUUUAUCAAUAAUAAACGUCCAAAAUAUCAAGAUAUCACAUCAAGAUUUUCCCAUAUUAGGUGUGUAUCUCACACCUAAUAAAUUUAAAAAUGCAACACCAAAGUACGUAUUAAAUCUUACUAGACGACCGGACAAUGUUAGUGGAAAUAGAUAUAAUAUUAUUUUGAAUGCAAAAUUUAAUGAGGAUGUACCAAAUUGUACAAUUCGAUAUAUUAGUUUAGUUUCAACUUCUGAAUUUACAUACAAUAUUUUUAAUAAUGCAAUUAAAAUAUCUAAUAAUAAAAAUAUUUUUCAAUAGAAAUAUUGAAUUAAGAAAAAGAAUGGGUUUAUUAUGUUAAUAAAUAUGGAUAAAGAAUUUUUAUGACCAAUAUACUGUCACAAAUGCAAAAGAAAACUAAAAUUUUAAACCAAUCAAGGUUUAAAUAACAAUUGGAUUUCGGAAAAUUUCAACACAAUGUUUAAAAUAUAAAACAAACUAAAGUAAAUUUAUUAAAUCACCUUUAGGAAAAGAAACAAUAUCUAAAAUAAAAUACGAAAAAAUAUCAGAACAAGAUAAUCUAAGUAAUGCAAAAGGACUUCAUAAAAUAGUAAGAUCCCAAUUUACAAAAAGGAGAAUAAAUACACAAGGUAUCGAUAAAUUAUGGGCUGUUAUAGAUACUUUUUCAAAAUUUGCAUGGGCUGAACCUCCUAAAAAGAAAGAUGGGAAAAAUGUUACAAAAUCUUUUGAAGAAAUAAUAAAAAGAGCGAAAUUACAGGAACACAAUUCUCCAAUAUUACUUUACACUAAAAAAAGAACAGACUUUGUAAACAAACAGUUUAUAGAAUGUUAAUAAAAUACAUCAUAAAAUUAUAUUAUAUACAAAAUUAUGAGAAUUCUGCAAUUAUUAAAUGUUUCAACAGAAAUUUAAAUGCUAAAAUGAGUAAUACAGUUUGAAUUUCAAAAAAAUAAAAGAUUCAUUGAUAUUUUACAAAAUUUGUUAAACGAAAAUAAUUUCAAAGAUAUUCAUCGAUCAAUUUGAAUGAUACCAUUCAAAGUAAACAAAUAUAAUUAAGAAAAAGUUUUUAACUAAAUUAUUCCUUAAUGAAACAUCCAAUGAAGAUGUAUUUUGGGCUAAGGAUUCUGAUUGGCUAUUCAACCAGGUUAUAAAUAUGUAUAGUUAUAAAUUACUUAAUGGAGCAUCAUGUAUUAAAUUAUCAAAAAAGAUAUCUGAUAUAAAAGCUAUUACCAAUAUUGCGAAUAAAGUUGAUAAAUAUUUUCUUUAGUCAAUUUUUGCCACUUUACAGUGACAAAAGAUGCAAACAGGGUUAGUAAUUAUUAUAAAUGAGAAAAUUAAUUAACUAUAUUAAAUGAACAGAUACAGAUUCUUUAUUAGUAAAAAUUAUAACUGAUGACUUUUAUACAGAUGUAAUUAAUAAUGAACAAUUUUAAAUGAAUUUGAUUUUUCAGAUUAUCUUGGAUUAAGAUCUAAUUUAUAUAUAUUUAAAGUAUUUAAAAACGUAAAUGAAAUUAAGAAGGCGAAAGGUGUUAAAAAACCCAUAGUUAAAAUUAAUUAUGUUUCAAUGAUUUUUAAAAUUGUUAAAAAUAAAAUUCCACAACAUGUAAAACAUAACACUUUUAGAACAGAUAAACAUAAUAUUUAUUGUUGAACAAAACAAUAAAGCUCUGAUGCAUCUGAUGCAUCUGAUGAUAAAAGACAUAUUCUGAAAAAUGGUAUUGAUACAGUAUCUUGGGAAAAUUAUUCAACAACAGAAAAAGAAAGAGAAAAUUUCUAAGAUCACCUUAAUAAUUUAAUAAAAACAAAUAUUAAAAAAGAAUAAUAAUUUUAAUAUAAGUUAUUUUUGAGAAAGGAUCUAUUGCACGCACGAUGCUUAAUUUAUUAUAUAUUUUUUUUUUUUUUUUUAAGAAAACUGUUUUAGCACAAUGUUUAUGUGAAAAUAGUUUUUCUAAGCUCUUUAAAAAUAAUAAAUAUAUACUUCUCUUUUUGUGAUACAAUUUUUUUUAAUAUUAUUAAUGUAAGUUUUUUAAAUUUUUAUUUUAAUUUAAUUAUUUUAAAUGUAUUUUUUUUUAAAUUUUUUUUUCAUAUAAUUGUGUGAACUAAUAAUAAUAAGGAAACAAGAUGAACAGAGAUCUGAAAUUAUAUUUUCAAAGUAAAAAUAUUUGGCUUCUCCAGGAUCCUCAUUUUUCUACAACACACACAACAAUAUAUAAUAUUAUAGGCUUUUUGUUGAUAAUUUAGAUUAUCUGUUUAGAUAAAAUGUUUGUGCUGUUUAUAUAAUAUUAUCAUAAUCCUGAUAAUAUUAAAAUAACUUAACAGUGGCAUAUAUAGGAAGGGGCACAGUGGGCCAUAAGCCCACCUCGUAUUAGUAUUGUAAUCAUCUCGCACAUUGAAAAUUGUUUUUAAUAUUAUUUAUUUAAUGAAUUAAAUUUAUCAUGCCUCAAUUAUUGAAAUACACAUUUUAUUUUUUAAAUAAUUAUUUUUAUGGCCCUAAUAAGAGGUACACAUGCAAAACAAAUGACCAAUGUAUAACUUGAUAUUUAUAGUAAAUACUAUUUUAUGUAAUUCUGUGAAAUGUGAAACAUAUUUUAGCUAAAAUUAUUUUUAUACAAAUAGUUGUUACUGUAACAUUAUUUGUUUUUUUUUUGUUUUUCUUUAGUUCCACACAAGAUCCAAAGUCUCAAUUUCAUUACAGCAAUAUUACAAUAUAAGAGUUUAAAUACAUAAACCUAAUGAACUGAAAUAAACAUAGUAGCACAACAUUAUAUUCACUAUUUCGCAAUCAAACUUUAUUUGCUAUUAUUAUUAGCUAUUAUUAAAAUUUACUGUAAUAUUAUUGAUAAUUAUUUUCAUAAUAUUAUAAGUUCAUUAUUAAUAAGUGUGUAUCAUUGUUAAAUUACAUACUUAAUAUCAUGUAUGUAAUAAAUUUAAUAAUACAUGAUAAUACAAUAUGUUUAAUUAAGUUGAUCUGUUAAAAAUUUAAAAUUUAAUCAAUGAC
rnacentral:lncRNA from 1 species